UGUUUCGGCUAGGGGGCCAUCCCGGCUUACCAACCCGAUGCAAACUGCGAAUACCGGAGAAUGUUAUCACGGGAGACACACGGCGGGUGCUAACGUCCGUCGUGAAGAGGGAAACAACCCAGACCGCCAGCUAAGGUCCCAAAGUCAUGGUUAAGUGGGAAACGAUGUGGGAAGGCCCAGACAGCCAGGAUGUUGGCUUAGAAGCAGCCAUCAUUUAAAGAAAGCGUAAUAGCUCACUGGUCGAGUCGGCCUGCGCGGAAGAUGUAACGGGGCUAAACCAUGCACCGAAGCUGCGGCAGCGAACGUAUCACUUAAAGCGAUUCAGCGGGUUACGAUUGACGGAGCGAAGCGACGUCAAAGCGUAUACAAAGUCGAGUCGGUUUAAGGAUACGUUCGUUGGGUAGGGGAGCGUUCUGUAAGCCUGUGAAGGUGGCCUGUGAGGGUUGCUGGAGGUAUCAGAAGUGCGAAUGCUGACAUAAGUAACGAUAAAGCGGGUGAAAAGCCCGCUCGCCGGAAGACCAAGGGUUCCUGUCCAACGUUAAUCGGGGCAGGGUGAGUCGACCCCUAAGGCGAGGCCGAAAGGCGUAGUCGAUGGGAAACGGGUUAAUAUUCCCGUACUUGGUGUUACUGCGAAGGGGGGACGGAGAAGGCUA
rnacentral:rRNA from 1 species